GUGAACGCUGGCGGCGUGCUUAACACAUGCAAGUCGAACGAGUAAGUGCUGUAGCAAUACAGAUUACUGCUAGUGGCAGACGGGUGAGUAAUACUUGGGAAUCUACCUUGAAGUCUGGAAUAACCGUUGGAAACGAUGGCUAAUACCGGAUAUUGCCGAGAGGUGAAAGUUUUUCGCUUCAAGAUGAGCCCAUGCAAGAUUAGCUAGUUGGUAGGGUAAUGGCCUACCAAGGCGAAGAUCUUUAGCUGGUCUAAGAGGAUGAUCAGCCACACAGGAACUGAGACACGGUCCAGACUCCUACGGGAGGCAGCAGUGGGGAAUAUUGGACAAUGGGCGAAAGCCUGAUCCAGCGACGCCGCGUGAGUGAUGAAGGCCUUCGGGUUGUAAAGCUCUUUCAGUAGGGAAGAUAAUGACGGUACCCACAGAAGAAGCCCCGGCUAACUUCGUGCCAGCAGCCGCGGUAAUACGAAGGGGGCUAGCGUUGUUCGGAAUUACUGGGCGUAAAGCGCACGUAGGCGGAUUUGUAAGUCAGGGGUGAAAUCCCGGGGCUCAACCUCGGAACUGCCUUUGAUACUGCGGAUCUCGAGUCCGGAAGAGGUGAGUGGAAUUCCUAGUGUAGAGGUGAAAUUCGUAGAUAUUAGGAAGAACACCAGUGGCGAAGGCGGCUCACCGGUCCGGAACUGACGCUGAGGUGCGAAAGCGUGGGGAGCAAACGGGAUUGGAUACCCUGGUAGUCCACGCCGUAAACUAUGGAUGCUAGCCGUCGGAGAGCUUGCUCUUCGGUGGCGCAGCUAACGCAUUAAGCAUCCCGCCUGGGGAGUACGGCCGCAAGGUUAAAACUCAAAUGAAUUGACGGGG
rnacentral:rRNA from 2 species